rnacentral:lncRNA from 1 species
CCAGUAAACAUAUCGAAUAGUAAAUAUAUUCUUAUGAAGUUCAAUUUUUCAUAUUUAUUUAUGCAAAAAUUCAGUGAUAUUCAUAUUUGUAUUUUUCGUUUGUUAUUGUUAAAGCACAGUUUAUUUUUUAAACAAAAGAUAUGUGAAAUAACUUUUUUACCAUCAUAAAUAUGUUACUUCAAAAAUUUCAACCGUUAGAAUUAUACAGAAAGGUCCUUUCAAAAAUUCUCAAUAGUCAUCUUUUUUCUUUCUGCCAUCACAAAUAAUAUAAGGGGAAUAAAAAAAGUCAAUUUACCUCAUUCACUAAUUAAGAUUAAGUAGUUUACUUUUAGUUAAUUAUAUUUUUCUAAUGGAUCCUAACAAAAGGGGGUAUAUUUGAAAAAGUUAAGAUUUUUGCAAGAACAAAUAUAAAAAAUUGAACUUUGUAGGUCCAUAUUUGCUAUUCGACAUAUUUACAGGGAGCCGCAUGCAAUUUACCUUUUUUUUUUUUGUAAUAAUGCUUAUUUGCCAUUUUCAUGUUGUUCUCUUGUAUUUUUUGUAAACUCCAUGUUGUCAAUGAUUUAAAAAUUGGGUCCGACGGACUAGUUCGACUAGUCCGACCGUGACUUAAUCUAUAAAGUAGUUCAGUUCAAUUCUUUGAACCAGAAAAUUUAAAAUUCACUUUGAAUUGUUCGAACCAGCUAAUUGGUGGUUCAACCAUCAAACCGAUAAACUAGUCCGAUUUUAAUCAAUCUGGCCUAGUUUUUUUAUCAAGUUGAUUUAAAAUCCAAUAGCUUAAAAUCAACUUAACUGAUUUAAUUUUCUAGUGCUACAUAUUAGUCUUAUAAAACGUAAAACGUGAAAAUUUAUGUAUAAUUAAUUUGGUCUAGAAAUUAAUAUUUUGUAAUUAAGUAUGAUACUAAAAUAAUAAUAAUAUAUAUAUUAUAUAAUAAAAUUAAAAAUAAAAUUUAAAUAUUUAUGGUAUUAUGCUGAUAUUAUUGGUUCACCCAUAAUUCUUUACCCAAUAACAAUUAUGGCCUGCUAUUUGACCUGAUUUUUAAAACAUUGCACAACAAAAAAGAAAAAGGCAAAAAUAUAAUUGUAAAUUUUUUUAUUUACUUAUAAAUUUUAUGGUGAAGUAGAUCAGUAUGGAGACAAGCUAACAGCACGAAAAGAAGUUGAUUGCACAUUCAUUUCAUCAAUGAUAAGAACUACAAAGAAAUGGAAAAAAAGGUUCAUUUUAGGGGCGGUUGGUUCCUCAUAAAACGAAUCGAAAAAUUAUUUUUGGUAUAAAAAAUAAUUUUUUGCUUGUUUGGUUCAAUGUAAAAAUACUUUUUCGUAAAAGUAUUUUUACAGAUUUGAAAAAAAAUUGAAGUUUUUGUUUUCUGCUAUUUUUUGCCGGAAAAUGAAAAUAGAUUGCGUAAAACUUUUUUUUAUUUAUCAAACCAAAUAAAUGUGAAAAUUUUUCCUUUCAAUCGAACAAAUGUUGAUGACAAAUUAUUAUUCUUUUUUUUACAAACCAAACACUACAAAACAUAAAACAUUUUUCCAGCAAAAAGUGUUUUCCACAAAGAUUUUUUUUUACGAUUUUAUGUUGAACUAAAAUGCAUGUAACAAAGCCUACUCAGGAACAGAGAAAAGAGACAAUUUCAUGAAAAAUUUGCACAAUAGGACCAUGUUUUUUUUUUUUUUUUUGGCUUUCUUGAAGAUAACAGGGAAUUAUUUUUUUAAUAUGAUAGCAUUAUUUUGAGCUCUAGCACUGCAUUUGCAUGGAUGAAGGAAAAUUAGGAGAGAACUAUUUUCUCUUUGUUUGAUGGAAAUUUGAGUAAGAGAAAUGCAGAGAAAAGGAGAGAAAUAGAUAGAAGUUGACCUUCUAAAAUGGCCAUUUUUUUUUUCUCUUCUCUUUUUUAAAUCCAAACAAUGGGAGAAUAAAUGAAUAACAACAGACAAAGGAAAUUUGAUCUGCUAUGCCCAUUUUUCUUCCUUUAAAUAUAAUUUCUCAUCUCUUUGCUGAAUGGGUCGAACAGUUGCCAAACUUGUUGAGCUAAUUAUAUUGGGCCUAUUUCUUAUUUGGGCCUUGCUAUUUGGGCUAUGUAAUUUGGUGAAGUCAAAAUCUCCUCUUUUUAUAUUUUCUUAUCAUGUAUGUGGGCCUCUAUUUGUAAGCUUUUGGAUCAUGAUUCUUUUGAUCCAAAGGCCCAUAUUGUUAGCCUCUUCUCUUAGGGAGCUAAAGUGGGAUAUUAGAAUAGAGAGAAAAAAAAAGAGAGAAAAGUAGAGAGUGAAAAAAAGAAGUGGGAGAAAAGAGAGAAAACCCUAGACUUGGUUUUGAUCUUUGUUCUAUCAAGAAGGAGGUGAGAUCUUCCUUAUGAUGUGUGGUUUACACUAUUUGGAUAGAGCUAGAGAUUGUUGGAGCUCUCUUUUAUACCUUGGAGAUAAGGUGAUAUUUCUCCCAUUUGAAUCUCUCUUGUAAUCUUCAAGUUUAUAGUGAAAGCUUCUUUUGUAUUGUUCUCCCGUAGAUGUAGGUAUAGCCGAACCACGUAAAUCCUUGUGUUCCUGUGGUUUUUGAUUUUUGUUAUUGCUCUUGUGCUUGGCUCUCCAUUUGAUGCUUAAAGAGAGUGGGUUGUGUAAUUGCCCACUAAGUGUUUGUGAAAUUGCCAUCAAUAUUUUUCACCCUCAUUUAACAACAAUUGGUAUCAGAGCUUGAUUGGUGGUUAUCUAAGCAUUCAUUUGUGUUUAUUCACUCAUCUUUCAAAUGAAAAAAGCUAUGGAAUUUGAGAAGUUGAAUGAGAGCAAUUGGCCUAUAUGGAAAAUCAUGAUAGAAGAUUAUUUGGUUGCAAAAGAGCUUGAUUUACCAAUAUUAGGAAAAGGUGCAAAACCCACUAGUAUGGAUAAUCAUGAAUGGGAUAUACUUGACCGAAAAUGUUUGGCGGCGAUUAGACCAUGCAUUUCAUCAUCGAUUUUAUUUGAUGUCUAUCAAUGCAAGACCGCAUCCGAAUUGUGGGAGACUUUGGAGCAAUCAUUUGAGCAACCUUCCGGUGUGAACAAGAUGCAUGCAAUGAAGAGACUCUUUCUCUUGAAGAUGCAAGAAGGUUCUACUAUUCGUAAGCAUGUGAGUGAGUUUAACUCUAUUGCGGCACAAUUGAAGUCUCUCAAAAUUAACCUUGAUGAAGAAGUCCUUUGUUUACUACUUUUGAGUUCUUUACCUUCAAGUUGGGAUACUCUUGUUACUAUGGUGGCGAACACAAUGGGGAACAAAUUCAAGUUGAAUGAUAUUGUUGCUUCAUUGUUGAAUGAGGAAACUCGCAAAGCCACAAAUCAAUUGUCUAGUGAUUUGAGUCAAGCACUACCUAUUGAUGAAAGAGGAAGGUCAUCGAAGCGAGGCCAAUAUUCCAACACAAAGGAAAGAUCUCAAAGUAAAGGAAGAUCAAAAUCACAAGGUAGAAAGCUUACUUGUUGGUAUUGCAAGAAGAUGGGUCAUGUGAGAAAGGAUUGUUAUGUUUUGAAAAAUAAGCAAAAAGGUAAAGGCAAGGAUGUCAAGAAUGAAGUUAACAACGCUUCGGAUGGUGAAAGUGGAGUCACAUUAAGUGUUGCUUGCACAGUCUCUUCUUGUGUAAACACUUGGGUUUUGGAUUCCGGUGCUUCUUUUCAUAUAUGUCCGGAUCGAUCAUAUUUUUCUACAUACAAAGGAGUAGAUGGUGAAUUUGUUUAUCUUGGUAAUGAUCGGGCAUGUAAAAUUAUUGGCAUGGGUGACAUUGUCAUAAAGCAAACAAAUGGUCAAAAGCAUACAUUGACAAAUGUGCGUCAUGUUUCGGAGAUCACAAAGAACUUAAUGUUGGCGGGACAAUUGGAUGAUUCCGGUUUUGUUAUCACUUUCGGAAAGGGCUCUUGGAAGAUAUCAAGGGGUAGUAUGACUAUUUUGAAAGGGCAAAAGAAUGAAAGUCUCUAUACACUUCAUGGAACCACUCAAAAGGGUGAUGAUUCAAAUUUGAUGGUUACUACCGCAAGCAAAGGCGAAAAUAUGCAAGUUUGGCAUAAUCGGCUUGGUCAUCUAAGUGAGCAUGGUAUGCAAGUAUUACAAGAACAUAAACUUAUUCCUUUCUUUGAGCAUUCAUUUCUUGAUUUUUGUGAACAUUGCAUUAUGGGAAAACUACAUAGAGUUAAGUUUAAAAGAAAUGAGAUGCAUAGAAAGGACAAGCAAUUGGAAUUGGUUUAUUCCGAUGUUUGCGGUCCUUUCAAUAUUAAGUCUCUUGGAGGUGCAUACUACUUUGUUACUUUCUUAGAUGAUUAUUCUAGAAAGUGUUCGAUUUAUCCUUUGGCUUCGAAAGAUCAAGUUUUUGAAACUUUUAAGAAAUUCAAAGCAUGUGUUGAAAAGAAAAGUGACCAUUUUAUUAAGUGUUUGCAAACCGACAAUGGUCGUGAAUUUUGCUCUAGUGCCUUUGAUGAUUUUUGUUUUGAGAAUGGCAUCAAAAGAGUGAAGACGGUUCCCUACACACCACAACAAAAUAGGAUCAUUGAAAGAAUGAACCAAACAAUUGUGGAACAGAUUCGAAGUAUGUUGUCGCACUCCGGCCUAUCAAAGUCUUUUUGGGCCAAAGCGGCAAAUACGGCCAUUUACUUGAUUAAUAGAUCACCUAGUGUUGCAUUAGAUGGAGACAUUUCGAAAAUUAUAUGGAGUGGCAAGGACAUUUCCUAUGGGCACUUAAGAAUAUUUGGGUGUGAAGCUUAUGUUCAUAUUCCGAAAGAAAGUAGAACAAAGCUUGAUGUGAAAUCAAGAAAAUGUGUAUUUCUUGGUUAUGGAGGUGAUGAGUUGGGUUAUAGACUUUGGGAUCCCGUUGUUAGAAAAACUAUUCGGAGCCGGGAUGUUGUGUUUAGAGAGGAUGUAAUGUUUAAAGAAGGCACGGAAGAAGAGCAAAAGAAAGAUAAACUUGUUGUUGAUGUACAAGUUGAUGGUUCUUCUCAAGAUAUACAUGAAGUUCAUCCUCCACUUUAUGAUAGUGAUGUUGGUCAUGAUGAUAAUGUUGAUCAUGAAGAAAGUACACAAUCUAGUGAAAGUCGGCAUGAUUCUCAUGAGAGUGAGAACGAUAUGUCUACCCCGCCGGCACAUGAUUUGAGAAGAUCAAUUAGGCUAUAUAAACCUAUCUAAAGGUAUUUUCCUUCUUUAUAUUAUGCUUUAUUUACUGAUUCGGGUGAGCCCGAGUGUUUUCAGGAAGCAAAAGAUUGCCCCGAAAAAGCAAAGUGACAAAGGGCAAUGGAGGAUGAGAUGGAUUCCGUACAUCAAAACCAUACUUGGGAAUUGGUGGAGCUUCCGGUCGGAAAGAAAGCAUUGAAAAAUCGAUGGGUUUAUGUGAUAAAAAAUGAAGUCGAUGGAUUCAAGAGAUAUAAGGUAAGGCUUGUUGUUAAAGACUAUGGAUAAAAGCAAGGUAUUGACUUCAAUGAAAUAUUUGCUCCCGUUGUUAAGCAUUGCUCAAUUAGAGUUGUUUUAUCCUUGGUUGCUAAUUUGGAUCUUGAGCUUGAGCAACUUGAUAUUAAAACCGCUUUCUUGCAUGGUGAUUUGGAUGAAGAAAUUUAUAUGUUUCAACCCGAAAGCUUUGUAGAAGCUAAUCCUAAUUUAGUAUGUAAACUAAAGAAAAGAUUUUAUGAUUUAAAGCAAGCAUCUAAACAAUGGUACAAGAAGUUUGAUUCUUUCAUGCAAGAUGAAGGCUCCAAAAGAUGUGAUUUUGAUCAUUGUGUUUAUUUUAGAUGCUCAGCAUAUGAUUCUUUUACUAUUUUGUUACUAUAUAUGGAUGACAAGUUGAUUGCUAGUAAUGAUCAAAAUGAUAUUACAAAGUUGAAGCUUGAUAUGUCAAAGAAGUUUGCUACUAAGGAUCUUGGUGAAGCAAAGAAAAUUUUGGGCAUGCAAAUUAAAAGGGAUAGUGAGCAUUGCAAGUUGUGGCAUGGUCAAUCGAGCUAUAUUUCUAAAGUUCUUGAAAGGUUUGAGAUGAAUGAUUGUAAGCCGGUUUCUACUCCAUUAGCCGGACAUUUCAAGUUAUCCAAGAAGAACUCUCCAAAGAAUGAGGUCGAAAGAGAUAAAAUGAAGAAUGUUCCUUAUAAUUCGGCCGUUGGAAGUUUGAUGUAUGCUAUGGUUUGUACAAGACCGGAUAUAGCUUAUGCGGUUGGAGUUGUUUCAAGAUAUAUGUCUAAUCCGGGAUGGGAGCAUUGGCAAGCUAUUAAAUGGAUUCUUCGAUAUUUGAAGGGCACACAAAAUGUUUGUUUGUGUUUUAGUGGAACUUCUUUGGAGGUGAAUGAAUAUGUUAAUUCCGAUCAUGCCGGUUGUAGAGAGACAAGAAAGUCCACUACGGGAUAUGUUUUUACAUUUGGAGGUAGUACGGUUAGUUGGAUGUCUAGGUUGCAAGACAUCGUUGCUUUGUCCUCUACGGAAGCCGAAUAUGUUGCCUUGACCGAGGCGGCGAAGGAAAUGAUUUGGUUAAAGCGAUUGCUUGCACAAUUUGGAGUGAGGCAAAAUAAAUAUGUUGUGCAUUGUGAUAAUCAAAGUGCAAUUCAUCUUGCAAAGAAUGCGGCGUAUCACUCCCGAACUAAGCAUAUCGAUGUUCGCUUUCAUUUUAUUCGGAUGGUAUUAGAUCGUCAACACUUGGAUGUGGAGAAGAUCGAUACAAAGAAAAACCUUGCGGAUAUGUUGACAAAGGUUGUUCCUACGGUAAAACUCAUAUUUUGUAGGAAGCACUUCGGAUUGAUCGAGACAUUGAUGGAGUGGUUGGAGAACAAUGCAUUGUGAUGAAGCUCAUUUGAUGGAUGGAGAUUACUUAUUUGAAGGAUAGAGAUUUGCCUUCAAGUGGGAGAUUGUUGAGCUAAUUAUAUUGGGCCUAUUUCUUAUUUGGGCCUUGCUAUUUGGGCUAUGUAAUUUGAUGAAGUCAAAAUCUCCUCUUUCUAUAUUUUCUUAUCAUGUAUGUGGGCCCCUAUUUGUAAGCUUUUGAAUCAUGGUUCUUUUGAUCCAAAGGCCCAUAUUGUUAGCCUCUUCUCUUAGGGAGCUAAAGUGGGAUAUUAGAAUAGAGAGAAAAAAGAAGAGCGAAAAGUAGAGAGUGAAAAAAAGAAGUGGGAGAAAAGAGAGAAAACCCUAGGCUUGGUUUUGAUCUUGGUUCUAUCAAGAAGGAGGUGAGAUCUUCCUUGUGAGGUGUGGUUUACACCAUUUGGAUAGAACUAGAGAUUGUUGGAACUCUCUUUUAUACCUUGGAGAUAAGGUGAUAUUUCUCUCAUUUGAAUCUCUCUUGUAAUCUUCAAGUUUAUAGUGGAAGCUUCUUUUGCAUUGUUCUCCUGUGGAUGUAGAUAUAGCCGAACCACGUAAAUCCUUAUGUUCUUGUGGUUUUUUAUUUUUGUUAUUGCUCUUGUGCUUGGCUUUCCAUUUGAUACUUAAAGAAAGUGGGUUGUGAAAUUGUCCACCAAGUGUUUGUGAAAUUGCCAUCAAUAUUUUUCACCCUCAUUUAACAACAAAACUUUUAGAAACAAAUGCAUAAAUAUUUUAUUUAGUAUAUAUUUUUUUUAUUCACUCAAAAAACUUAUAUAUUUGAUAGAUAAGAAGUGUAGUCAAAUAUUUAGAAUUAAAUUUGCAACGUAUUAGAUAAAAUAUACUAUCUUAUCAAAUCAUAAAUGUAUGAUCAUUCAAUGAGCAAACUCAAACUCGUUUUCUAUAAUCGCGCCAGAAAAUUAUCAUAUCGAACAAGUUAUCCUUCGAUAACCAAUUUCGAUAUCCGGUGUAAAGAGAACAUGGAGCCCCAAAUUCACCUGGGUUUCAACAUCACCCUGUACAACAACUCAAAAACUUAUGCUCAAAUAGCUAAGAGAAGCAAUGCAAUUAGGAGGGUUGCUGAAACAGAGAAAAGAACAUCUCAAACCCAACAACAUUCACCAAAUUAACAUGAUGUCCAAAUGUUAGCAAUUUUCAGACCAUCCUGCAAGCCCAGAAACCUCAAUCAAACCGCCGAAAGUCGACUGUUAUGAAAGCACUAAAUUACCCACCUAUUCAUUGCCACCGGCUUCAGAAAGUUCAAGCUAAGCAGAAAAACGAAAUUAUAUCACAAGUUCGAAGCUUAAACGACGACGCUGCUGCUGGUGCAGCAAAGCAGUUUGUUCCGGUGUCAGACUGUCAUGCAUUGUUUUCAGAUGGAGUGAGUGCUGAAAUAGUUGAAGUCAUGAUGGUGGACUCCGAGCUGUUUGAGCCAGGAGUCGGCAGCGCUAAACAGAGAUGCGAUCUUUUCGCUGUCGCCAGUCUCAGGAUUAAUCCAGAGGCUCCCUUCAAGUUUGUAGGUAGCAAGCCCGAAAGGAGUGAGCGAUACAUUGUUCCAGUUCUCCUCGGAUUUUGUUUCGCUCUCUUUCUCAUCUGAAUAACACAAAGUGUCUUUGGUAAAUUUCUGGAAAUAUAUAUCUACAUAGUAUCAUAAUUCACCGUAGACUAAUACAAAAGGAAAGUAAUAAUGAAAGCGCAGAUACUGAAAAUAAGUAGUCAAAAAUUCCAUGAAUUAAGAUCAUCGAAACUCAUGCAGAACCAGAAAAAAUGUGAUAACAAAUAAGCAUGCAGUGUCUUCUUCAUAAGUGCUCCUCAUAGAAUUGAGUAAUUAUGGAGACUAAUGUGAGAACAAGUAUCACAUUACAGUCGCAGUUCGAUACUCUACUUCUCAGCUAUAUACUGCAUAAACGUCCGAUUAAGAGAAAAUAGGAAAAAGUGACAAGAAGAUUUGUUGAUUUCGAGAACCAAAUAUAGGAAGAAUCUGUAUUAAGUAGAAAAUAUAGUUACGAGCAAAGCGUUCGCGAACCUUGAAAUGAAGCAGAGAUAGUAUGGUAAGUCAGGAAGCAUGUAGACAAGUCCUUCACAUUGCGCUUGGCGGGGAUUUGAUAGAUCGGAUACCUAAUUGACAAGAGAAAAAUAGUAAGAAAAGAUCCAAAGAAAAGUAAAAAAGUCAUACAAAGAUCUAGAUUUCGCGAUCUUCAUCAAAUAAAAGAUCCUUCUAAAUGUUCACAAACACGUGCCGAAAGCUGUUACGAAUCAUCGAAAACGUCCAAAAUAACUUGACAAAAAAAACUCAAUUGUCAUUUUCGUUUGUCGUUUCUGCUUGUCGUUUCCGUUUGUCGUUUCCUCGAUUCGACGAUUUCUUAAAUCAUGAAGAACCGGACAAGACAGCAUGGAUAUCAGAGCAACCAAUAGAUCACGAGAUUCGCCGAUCCUUAUAAUAAUAUCCUUUCCAAACAUGGAUACGCUUACGCAGCUAACCAAGUUAAAGCAGAAGCAAAAGGUAGGCCAAGCAUAGAUACCAAGCAACCGACAUCCAACUCGCUGGCGAAAGCUCGGCGCUCGUAAGAGAUGUCAACCCCGAGAAGUAAUGAGCUAGCUCAUACACCUACUUGAAACAAAAGGGGCAAAAUAUGUAAACAAGUACAACGUAAGCGACACACGCAAAGAGUUUCACCAUCGAAAUAAGAUCCAUGCAAAAUACCUUGUCCACAAAAGGUACCCUUCCGUACGGCGAACAAACCUCAAAGAACUCAAAGCACAAGUGCCCGAAGCUUUUCCUAGCAUCCCAUGCACCCCCAUUCCAUGAGGUCGAUAGCUUCGCGUACUCAUUGCGAUGAUCCCCGUUAAGGCUCCUAUUGUCGAAAUGAACAGAGACAGUUCAAAUUAGCCUUUUCGCUUCUCUUGAUUUACUUUAAGCUUAUGUUAUCUCUUCGAAAGGCGGUAUGAACAAACCUAGAUGGAGUAAAAGGUUUGUUGGUGUACAAUUGGAUCGCGGAAAGGUAUGGCACAUAGUAUUGGACUAGUGUUUCCCCAUCGGGAAGGCGAACUCGCGUCCCCGCGCCAUAGGCACUCCACUCAUAGUACUGGUCCCAGAGCUCGCCAAGGUUGAAAUACUUGACGGUUUCCGCCCCCGGAGUUUGCCAUGCAGAGAAGGAAUGCUGCACAAACAAAAAGAACUUUGAUUUUUUUUUUUUUUUUGUUCGAAUUCGAAUCCAUUUAAAGGCAAUACAAACAACUUCUGUCUAAGAGUAUUAUCCUCUAAUGUUUGGACACAGCAUUUGCUGAAAAAGGUUAAGAUCACUGGCCAGAUCACAAGGGAAAGUGGCUUCAGAAAGGAUAAUGGUGAUCCAGAAAUAUAUUUUUUUUAAAAAAAAAAGGAAAGAAAAGGGGGAUUAAAGUAGAGAUAGACCAUUUGUGAAAACCAACUAUAGUUUCCAUCAAAGGUUCUAGAAUAAUCUUAAAGAAUUGAACAUUGUAGACAACAACAACAACAACAACAACAACAACACAAAUGGAUAUGGAAAAGGAUCAUCAACCACAAUGCUUAUCACAUUAUCCAAAAAGAUCAUCAAUCACAAAAGAAAUAUAUAUAUAGUAGUUUGAUUUAGUCUGAGGAGUGAAUCUGUCAAAGUAAAAAUGACCAAAAAAAAAAAGAAGUUAGAUCCAAAUGUGGAUACAAAUAGUUACAACUGCAGCACAGUCGAAUGCUGGACGCUGAUGCAACGCCAGCGAUCCGAGCAAUAAAUUUGGAUUUGCAUGCAGUCACACUUGCACGUGUAGUAGUGCAACAACAACUGCGUGCAACCAAACGCUGAAAGAAUCGUAAACGAAAAGAAACAACUUGACUAUAAAAAUAAAAGAGAAAAAGAAAAUCAAAGAAGAGAGAGAGAGAGAGAUCACCUUGGAGAGGAAUUGGAUCUCCACAGUGGGAGUGGUGCAAUCUAAGAAGCACUGGAGAUUGGAGUAUCCUCCCAAUUUUCCACUAUCCAUCCUCUUAUCCCACUUGUAUUCUCGCAGUCGCUUUCAACACCCCGUCCAACGCACGAAUAUACCAAUCAACUAUUCCACCAUUUCCUGCACACUAUCCCACAACUGUAAAAAAAAUCCAAUCUUUUUCUGGUCAAACCCAGCAAAAAUAAACAGAACAAGAAGAGUAAGGAUAAGAAGAAGAAGAAGAAGAAGAAGAGUACUCUGUUUUUUUCUGGGGGAAAGAUGGGAUUUUUAGUAAAGAUUAUAGUAAGUACUAAGUGAGAACACACUCACCAACCUACCUAGGAGUUAAUGGAGCCCAAAAAUAGUAAGGAGAGAAGAGAGAGAGAGAGAGUAGGGAGAAGAAGAGGACCCAAUCAUAUAUAUAUAUACAUGGUAAAAAUGCAUGGGUAGUCCUUGUACUAUUCUGAUAUUGCUACUAAAUCACUGUGGUUUGCAUUUAGUCCUAAACUUUUGUAUAUAUUACACUUCAGUCUCUCAGGACCAUUAAAAAUUUGUUUUUUAUUACAAAAUAGACUUUUAAUUCUACUUGAAAUAAAGUAGAACGAAUUAGUCAUUUUGUUAAAGGUAAUAUAUUAGCCGGUUUGUAGAUAAAAAUAUCAAAUAAUUAUUUUCCAAAAAAUAAAAUGUUUUGGAUGGUUAGAAACUAAUGUGUAUAAAUUUAUAAGAGCUUAACUAUUUAUGUGAAAAAUAUUGAUAAAAAUAUAUAUAGAGAAAUGCUAAGUCUACAUCCUUUGUUGGAUUGUGGGGAUUACAAUUCUCAUCUAAGGAUUGUAAUCCUCUCCCUUAGGGUUAAAAAAGAUUAAAAUAAAUUUUAGUAAUUAAACAGAUGAGCAAAAUUUUUAACUAAAAUUAGUUAAUUUUGAAAAAAUAAAUGAAGGAUUUCAUUGAAUUUAUUAGUGAAUUAAUCAGAUAUAAUAACUCUAAAUACUUUUUGACCAAUAAAACUAGAUUAACUAAUAGUCCGUAACCAACAGAGUUGCCGAAUUUAGCAAAAUUUUAACUUAAUUACCCAAGUGCCAAAACUCAAAUAAAAAAGAAAAAAAGAUGUUAAAAAUAGUUAAGAGGUCUAUUUCAAAAAGACCAAUUUUCAUUACAGAAAAGGAGAAAAAUUCUACUUGUAUAGCCAAAAAAAUAAAUAGGUCUUACACUCUUAUUUUAGAGUUCAUAAAAAUUUUAAAAAAAAUUUAGUAAAAUUUAAAAAAAAUAAUGUGAUAAGUAAAAAUUAAUAUCUUGAAUGAAAUGGGUGUCAAAUAUUUACUCUAGUUUGGAGCUUAGCUAGGGACGGAGCCAUUAAGGAGCCCACAGUGUCCAUGGUCUUUCUGAACUUUUAAAAAUUAUAUAAAAGUCCUUUAUAUUAAAAAUUAAUUUAAAAUAUUAUAAAUUUUAAUUUUAGGGGGCCAAAUUAAUUGUUUUUAAUAAAACUUAUGCUUCAGUUUUUUUUCGAACUCCUUAGCUCUUUUUUUAGCUCUUACAGUGUUGCUCUUCUUUGAGCAGAUUAUUAUUAUUGUUGCUAGCAAUAGAUGAUCAAUGAAUCCGAUAAAUUUUUUUUUUUACUAUCCGAGGUCGAAUUUUUUUUUUUUAUAUCAAAUCUAAAUCUUAGCCCUUCCGAAUCUUAAUUCCUAGCUUCGUUCCUGAGCGUAACGAUAGCAUUGCGUGAAAGAAGAAUAGAGGGACCGAAGUCACAAUAUUUGCAUAGUACAGGGACCCAUCCUGCGAAAUUACCCCCCACACCACACAGCGUAAGCGCGCGAGCGUGGACGACACUUGGAGGGGCUUCACGUGUAAGUGUAAAGUGUUUAGUGUGGAGUGUGCUUCUACGAAACGAGCGUUUUGUUUCUCUCUCUCUCUUCUCACUCUCUCUAUAAACUUUAUUACAGAGCUUUAUUAUUGAGCUUCUUUAUUCGCAACGAGAAUCGAAUAAGGAGAGUAGAUAACGAGAAUAAGGUGGAGAAUAGCGAUGAAUAAGAAAGAGAUAUAAAGGAAGUGGGAUAAUUACUACCACGACGUUGGAGGAGGAGAGAGAGGGGCUUACGCUUAGUUUGGUAUUGAGAUUUAUUUUAUCUAAUAAAUAAAAUAAAAUUUGGAUAAAAAUACAUAAAAAUAUACUUCAACGUUUUUCCGUGAAACUAUAAAAAAUAUAUGGUAAUUGGAAUGCAAUAUUAUUACGUACGAAAAUAAAUAUGACAAUUUUUCAUCAUAUUUUCUCACCGCACGUAACGUAAUCUUUCCGCAAUCCAAAAUAAAAUCUUUAAAAAAAUAAUUGCUUUUUUAGCUCCCACAAAAUGUUGCUAUUCUUGUAUAGCAUACUAAUUAAAAUACGUGCACCAGUGAAUAAAUUAUUUCAAUCAUAUCAUAUAAAUUAUCAAUAUUAUAUAUAUAUAUAUAUAAAAGAAAUUUUUAAUUAUUAUUUAAAAUUUUUAAAUUUAUUCUAAAAUUAUCAAAUUAGUAAUUCUAUAGAUAUGAAGAUAUUUGAAAAAAAAAAUUAAUAAAGGCAUUUUGAUCAACCAAAAAUAUAUUAUAUAUUUUUAAAAAUUUUGAUCAAUACAUUAGAUAUCAUCUUUAUGAAAAAUUAAGCGCACCAACUAACUUCGAUUUUGAUUUUGAAGGAUGUAUUGUGGAGUUUGGGGAGCGUGGUGUUUGAGAUGUAUGCAUACACCAAGUGCAGGGAAUAAUUUAUGGUGUGUAAAUAAAUGCUGGGUCCCGGUUCACUAAAAGAGAGUAUCUACUAGAUGUGAUAUGGUAUUAUUCAAUGAAGUAGUUAACGUCCUGGACUGGGUCAUUAUGGAUAGCAAUGUAAACGGGUCGGAUGCAGUUGGAUUUUUAAAAAAUUCGAAUCCGAAUCUAACUAUGGAAUUCAAAAUUUGAACACAAAAUUGAAAUUGUCGGAUUUUGGAAAUCGAAAGCCAAAAUUGAACCCACCAAAAAAAGUAAAAUACGAAACCGAACUCGAAAAUCAGAAUCCGAAACUAAUCAUUUUCCUGUUGUCAAAUUUCAAGACAUAUUAUAUUUAAAUCUAAAUUUUCAAAGUGAAAAACAACUAUAAACUAAAAAGUAACUAUAAAUUAUUAGAUUUUUUUGUCUUAUUAGAUUUUUAUCUUUUAUGUUCAUAAUCGAAAUCAAAGAUAUUUAGUAUCAGAUAAACUUGUUCUCUUCAGAUGCGGGCAUCUGAAACCAUCGACAUAUGUAAUCACACGCCAAGUUAUUUAAAUUUAGUAUUAGUUAAACUGGUUCUCUUCAAAUUCGGGCGUCCGAAACUAUUGGCAUAUGUAAUCACACGAUAAGAGGUUUUUUUUUUAAAAAAAGAAGGAUUGCUAUUUAAAGAGUUGGAAUAAGGCGGAAUUAAAUUCUGUGAAUGUGAUUGAUGGGAUCAAAUUUGGGCCAAUUUCUUUGAAAUCACAUGAAAAUAAUCUAUUUAUGUCAAGAUUUAUUUAUUAAUUUAUUUAUUUUUUGAUGAUGGCAAUGUCAGUUUUUUUUUUUUUUUUUUUUUUUUUUUUUUUUUUUUUUUUUUUUUUUUUUUUUUUUUUUUUUUUUUUUUUUUUUUUUUUUUUUUUUUUUUUUUUUUUU